rnacentral:rRNA from 1 species
UACGUAGGGUGCAAGCGUUGUCCGGAAUUAUUGGGCGUAAAGAGCUCGUAGGCGGUCUGUCGCGUCGGCUGUGAAAACCCGAGGCUCAACCUCGGGCCUGCAGUCGAUACGGGCAAACUAGAGUACUGCAGGGGAGACUGGAAUUCCUGGUGUAGCGGUGAAAUGCGCAGAUAUCAGGAGGAACACCGAUGGCGAAGGCAGAUCUCUGGGCCGUAACUGACGC